ACCUCCGGCCUAUCUUCCGCACGGACAGACCCACCGACCCGUCAGCUACUGUCUUCACCGCCGUGGUGGAACCUCUGAGAAACCGCGUGGAGUUCUACCAGGGUAACCCAGCGCUACCCGAGAACUCACCCUUCAUGUACUUCAACGUACUGGACAGAUGAAUAGAACAGAACCUAGCACUGGCAGGACUAACGAACCGUAAUAUUAUUAUGACCUCCCUCAAUUUGUGUCUGUGGACAGCGCUUAUCAAGUCAGGGUAUAGGCACCCACUUGUCAUGUUCUUGAGAGCAGACAUGAAGCAGACUGAACUGAAGUCAAGGCCACAGCGACCGGCCCAAUUAAAUCCCUCGGAAAUGACCUUGACCUUCAUCAUGGCCGAUCCAAAGAUUUUUUACAAGAUGAUUCACUCCAUUUGACAUUUAAACUAUAAGCGGAUGAUAUAAUGUUGAUACUGCCUCUCAAGUAAUCAGAAAGAGCUUUAAAUGUUUGUUUGAAUUAAUGUUUUGCAGUACUAUCGUUACAAUUUUGUUAAAAGUGUUAAAACAUGUGGUUUUUAACUGAGUCAAA